rnacentral:rRNA from 1 species
GCCCGGUGCGGCGUGCUAUACAUGCAGUCGAACGCUUCUUUUUCACCGGAGCUUGCUCCACCGGAAAAAGAAGAGUGGCGAACGGGUGAGUAACACGUGGGUAACCUGCCCAUCAGAAGGGGAUAACACUUGGAAACAGGUGCUAAUACCGUAUAACAAUCAAAACCGCAUGGUUUUGAUUUGAAAGGCGCUUUCGGGUGUCGCUGAUGGAUGGACCCGCGGUGCAUUAGCUAGUUGGUGAGGUAACGGCUCACCAAGGCCACGAUGCAUAGCCGACCUGAGAGGGUGAUCGGCCACAUUGGGACUGAGACACGGCCCAAACUCCUACGGGAGGCAGCAGUAGGGAAUCUUCGGCAAUGGACGAAAGUCUGACCGAGCAACGCCGCGUGAGUGAAGAAGGUUUUCGGAUCGUAAAACUCUGUUGUUAGAGAAGAACAAGGAUGAGAGUAACUGUUCAUCCCUUGACGGUAUCUAACCAGAAAGCCACGGCUAACUACGUGCCAGCAGCCGCGGUAAUACGUAGGUGGCAAGCGUUGUCCGGAUUUAUUGGGCGUAAAGCGAGCGCAGGCGGUUUCUUAAGUCUGAUGUGAAAGCCCCCGGCUCAACCGGGGAGGGUCAUUGGAAACUGGGAGACUUGAGUGCAGAAGAGGAGAGUGGAAUUCCAUGUGUAGCGGUGAAAUGCGUAGAUAUAUGGAGGAACACCAGUGGCGAAGGCGGCUCUCUGGUCUGUAACUGACGCUGAGGCUCGAAAGCGUGGGGAGCAAACAGGAUUAGAUACCCUGGUAGUCCACGCCGUAAACGAUGAGUGCUAAGUGUUGGAGGGUUUCCGCCCUUCAGUGCUGCAGCUAACGCAUUAAGCACUCCGCCUGGGGAGUACGACCGCAAGGUUGAAACUCAAAGGAAUUGACGGGGGCCCGCACAAGCGGUGGAGCAUGUGGUUUAAUUCGAAGCAACGCGAAGAACCUUACCAGGUCUUGACAUCCUUUGACCACUCUAGAGAUAGAACUUCCCCUUCGGGGGCAAAGUGACAGGUGGUGCAUGGUUGUCGUCAGCUCCUGUCCUGAAAUGUUGGGUUAAGUCCCCCAACAAACCCAACCCUUAUUGUUAUUUUCCAUCAUUCAAUUUGGGCCCUCUAACAAAACUUCCCGGUAACAAACCCAAGAAAAG